rnacentral:rRNA from 1 species
UACGGAGGAUGCGAGCGUUAUCCGGAUUUAUUGGGUUUAAAGGGUGCGCAGGCGGUCUGUUAAGUCAGCGGUCAAAGCCCGGGGCUCAACCCCGGCCCGCCGUUGAAACUGGGGAUCUAGAGUGUGCGAGAGGUAUGCGGAAUGCGCGGUGUAGCGGUGAAAUGCAUAGAUAUCGCGCAGAACCCCGAUUGCGAAGGCAGCCUGCCGGCCCCACACUGACGCUGAGGCACGAAAGCGUGGGUAUCGAACAGG